GCUUGGUGUGGUGGCCCAUGCCUGUAAUCCUAGCAGCUUGGGAGGCUGAGGCAGGAGGAUCUUGAGUUCAAAGCCAGCCUCAU
rnacentral:sRNA from 1 species